UACGGGGGGAGCAAGCGUUGUUCGGAUUUACUGGGCGUAAAGGGCGCGUAGGCGGUCAGCACAAGUCAGUUGUGAAAUCUCCGAGCUUAACUCGGAAAGGUCAACUGAUACUGUGCGACUAGAGUGCAGAAGGGGCAACUGGAAUUCUCGGUGUAGCGGUGAAAUGCGUAGAUAUCGAGAGGAACACCUGCGGCGAAGGCGGGUUGCAGGGCUGACACUGACGCUGAGGCGCGAAAGCUAGGGGAGCGAACGGG
rnacentral:rRNA from 1 species